ACGGGUAGCCGGCCUGAGAGGGUGAUCGGCCACAUUGGGACUGAGACACGGCCCAGACUCCUACGGGAGGCAGCAGUGGGGAAUAUUGCACAAUGGGCGCAAGCCUGAUGCAGCGACGCCGCGUGAGGGAUGACGGUCUUCGGAUUGUAAACCUCUUUCAGUAGGGACGAAGCGAAAGUGACGGUACCUGCAGAAGAAGCACCGGCCAACUACGUGCCAGCAGCCGCGGUAAUACGUAGGGUGCGAGCGUUGUCCGGAAUUACUGGGCGUAAAGAGCUCGUAGGCGGUUUGUCACGUCGUCUGUGAAAUCCUACAGCUUAACUGUGGGCGUGCAGGCGAUACGGGCAGACUUGAGUACUACAGGGGAGACUGGAAUUCCUGGUGUAGCGGUGAAAUGCGCAGAUAUCAGGAGGAACACCGGUGGCGAAGGCGGGUCUCUGGGUAGUAACUGACGCUGAGGAGCGAAAGCAUGGGUAGCGA
rnacentral:rRNA from 1 species